ACGCUAGCUACAGGCUUAACACAUGCAAGUCGAGGGGAAACGGCAUUUAGUGCUUGCACCGAAUGGACGUCGACCGGCGCACGGGUGAGUAACGCGUAUCCAACCUUCCCAUAACUAAGGAAUAACCUGCCGAAAGGCAGACUAAUACCUUAUGUAAUCCUUUGAUGGCAUCAGAUAAGGAUAAAAGAUUUAUCGGUUAUGGAUGGGGAUGCGUCUGAUUAGCUUGUUGGCGGGGUAACGGCCCACCAAGGCAACGAUCAGUAGGGGUUCUGAGAGGAAGGUCCCCAACAUUGGAACUGAGACACGGUCCAAACUCCUACGGGAGGCAGCAGUGAGGAAUAUUGGUCAAUGGACGGAAGUCUGAACCAGCCAAGUAGCGUGCAGGAUGACGGCCCUAUGGGUUGUAAACUGCUUUUGUAUGGGGAUAAAGUCAAUCACGUGUGAUUGUUUGCAGGUACCAUACGAAUAAGGACCGGCUAAUUCCGUGCCAGCAGCCGCGGUAAUACGGAAGGUUCGGGCGUUAUCCGGAUUUAUUGGGUUUAAAGGGAGCGUAGGCCGGAGAUUAAGUGUGUUGUGAAAUGUAGACGCUCAACGUCUGACUUGCAGCGCAUACUGGUUUCCUUGAGUACGCACAACGUUGGCGGAAUUCGUCGUGUAGCGGUGAAAUGCUUAGAUAUGACGAAGAACUCCGAUUGCGAAGGCAGCUGACGGGAGCGCAACUGACGCUGAAGCUCGAAGGUGCGGGUAUCGAACAGGAUUAGAUACCCUGGUAGUCCGCACAGUAAACGAUGGAUGCCCGCUGUUGGUACCUAGUAUCAGCGGCUAAGCGAAAGCAUUAAGCAUCCCACCUGGGGAGUACGCCGGCAACGGUGAAACUCAAAGGAAUUGACGGGGGCCCGCACAAGCGGAGGAAC
rnacentral:rRNA from 1 species